rnacentral:rRNA from 1 species
UACGAAGGGGGCUAGCGUCGUUCGGAAUUACUGGGCGUAAAGCGCACGUAGGCGGACUUUUAAGUCAGGGGUGAAAUCCCGGGGCUCAACCUCGGAACUGCCUUUGAUACUGGAAGUCUUGAGUAUGGAAGAGGUAAGUGGAAUUGCGAGUGUAGAGGUGAAAUUCGUAGAUAUUCGCAGGAACACCAGUGGCGAAGGCGGCUUACUGGUCCAUUACUGACGCUGAGGUGCGAAAGCGUGGGGAGCAAACAGG